rnacentral:rRNA from 1 species
UUUCCAUUAAUCAAGAACGAAAGUUAGAUGAUCGAAGGCGAUCAGAUACCGCCCUAGUUCUAACCAUAAACGAUGCCAGCCAGCGAUGCGGCUGCGUUCCUCAAAUGACGCGCCGUGCAGCUUCCGGGAAACCAAAGCUUUUGGGUUCCGGGGGAAGUAUGGUUGCAAAACUCAAACUUGAAGGAAUUGACGGAAGGGCACACAAGGAAUGGAGCCUGCGGCUUAAUUUGACUCAACACAGGGCAUCUCUCCCGGUCCGGACACAGGAAGGAUUGACAGAUUGAGAGCUCUUUCUUGAUUCUGUGGGAGGUGGCGCAUGGCCGUUCUUAGUUGGUGGAGUGAUUUGUCUGAUCAAUUUCGAUAACGAGCGAGACUCUAGCCUACUAAAUAGACGUUCCGAUCUUUGUAGUCGGACGUUCUUCUUAGAGGGACAAGCGGCGUUUAGUCGCACGAGACUGAGCAAUAACAGGUCUGUGAUGCCCUUAGAUGUCCGGGGCCGCACGCGCGCUACAUUGAAGGAAUCAGCGUGUGCUUUCCCUGCCCGACAGGGCUGGGUAACCCGUUGAACCUCCUUCGUGCUGGGGAUAGGAAAUUGUAAUUAUUUUCCUUGAACGAGGAAUUCCUAGUAAGUGCGAGUCAUCAGCUCGCGUUGAUUAGGUCCCUGCCCUUUGUGCACACCGCCCGUCGCUACUUUUGAUCGAGUGAUUUAGAUGAGGGCCCUCGGACUGGCGCUCGGAUUGGACUCUUGUUCGAGACGAAGUGCCGGAAAGUCGGCCGAAC